ensembl:lncRNA novel transcript
AGUUCUGCGAAAAAUUAGGCUAUCUUUCAUUAGCUAUCUAUCAUGCGGCCUCCACCAGGCUGCAGGAUAUGAGGGCCAUUUAAUUAGGCCCUGCACCACUCUCGGGUGUGAAAAGGCUCUCAAACGCUUUGAUUCCCCGCUGCUUCGCAGCAGGAAGUUGUUGGCGAUAAUUGACAUAGGAUUUCCUUGUUAACCAGCAGCAGACACGCCGGAUUAAAGCGACAGAGAUCUCGAGAAGAAAGUGAAAGAGAUAAGAAGCUCGGAAGACUUCUGCUUAUUUGGCACUUGAGGAUGGCAGGAAACAGCAAUAACCUACUCAAGUGGCGACUCUAGAGUGGAAGGGCGUCCCCUUAUCAGACCUAUUUCAGCUUGGCUGAUCAAAGAUUGACUCCCCGCAAAAUCACAUAGGCCUGGGGUUUGUUAGUUUAUUAAGCAGCAGGUUUUAGGAAUUAUCACAGGUUUAAAGAUGGAUUGCAGUUUAUGUGAAGGGGGAGAGGAUUAUCGGGUUUUCAUCUUAACAAUUAUAAAAUAUCACAGCUGAAAGCUUGCUUGCAAAUGACAUAAUUUUCCACUGCCAACUAAACAGGUCAUUGUGAGGCUGCCUGUGAGCGCACUCAACGAGGGAGGAAAUACAGGCAAAUUAACUCUGGGGAGGACCGGGGAUGAGGGGCCUCCACGCCUUGUUCCACUUCGGAAGACGGUGCGAUCUCAUUUUGCCCUGUGCGAUUCCUUAGGUAUAACAUCCAAUUGCUCCUGUUGGAAGGGACACUCUGCAUGUAAAUGGCAGAGACACUCUGGUUCACUCAAAUGUAUUGUUCCUGAAAGAAAGGAAGUGGUCUGCAGAGAAGAUACUCAGCUAGAAGAUUCCUCUGUGAGGCUGCUAGUACUUCUCCAGCAGACCAAGCCAGGAGAGCUUUCUCAAAGAUUCUACCAGAUUUUCCAGGGGUUCUCAAAGAUUGUCUGCAAACCAGCUCUGAUAAAUGAUUGCAGCUUCUUGAGUCUAUAGAGAGAGACCUUUAUGCUCUCUCUACUAGGAAGUAAUGCUUUUUUCCCUGAGAUUAUGUUCUUUUUAAAAUUUUUAUGUGCUUUUAAAAUCUCAUGUGUGUAUUAACAUGUCCUUUCUUUAUAGAAUGUUGAAGACAAUAUAUAAAUUUCUGAAAAGAUUUGAAUGAUUUGAUUUGGCAAAAUAAAGAAUUGCCAAUCCUACAUAGAGCUCCAUACACCAAUUUUUAAAAAUAAUUUUAUUGCUUCACAAAAUCUGGGAACCACUGGAUAUAUGAAGUAUCUCUUUUAGCUAAAGCAAAGUCAACUCUCACCCUCGAAAAAAGUUCAUUUUUUGAUCUGUUUUUAUUUUUCUGUGGCAAAAAGUGCUUUUGUGAUGCCUCUAUGAAUAAAAGACUCAUUUUCCUAA